rnacentral:misc_RNA from 1 species
UCAAACUUGGUCAUUUAGAGGAAGUAAAAGUCGUAACAAGGUUUCCGUAGGUGAACCUGCGGAAGGAUCAUUAAAAAACAAAAGAUCGACCUCUUCUUCUUCUUUUCGAAGAAGAAGAGAUAUGGACGAUCGAAUCCAUAUCCACCUUGUGUGCACUGACUGACCGUUCGCUUUGGCAGGAGGAGUCUUGGAAUUUAUAAUAUUAUUUUAUGAUUCCAAGCGAGGUUCUAAAAAAAAAAGAACCUUGGCCUGCCAGAGUUUUUCUUAUUGCAAGAAAAAAACAAAAAAAACGCUUUCUUUUCAUAUCUUCCAGAAUGGAACCUUUCCAUCUCGAUUCUCUGUAAUCGAUUGAAACCAAAUACAACUUUCAACAACGGAUCUCUUGGCUCUCGCAUCGAUGAAGAACGCAGC